ensembl:lncRNA
ACAGCAGGCAACAGAGAGGAGACAGGAUACAGUAGAGAGGAGACAGGAGACAGUAGAGAGGAGACAGGAGACAGGAGACAGGAGACAGUAGAGAGGAGACAGGAGACAGUAGAGAGGAGACAGGAGACAGUAGAGAGGAGAGAGUAGAGAGGAGACAGGAGACAGUAGAGAGGAGACAGGAGACAGCAGAGAGGAGACAGCAGAGAGGAGACAGCAGACAGGAGACACUAGAGAGGAGACAGGAGGCAGCAGACAGGAGACAGUAGAGAGGAGACAGGAGGCAGCAGACAGGAGACAGUAGAGAGGAGACAGGAGGCAGCAGACAGGAGACAGUAGAGAGGAGACAGCAGACAGUAGAGAGGAGACAGGAGAGAGGAGACAGCAGGCGGCAGAGAGGAGACAGCAGACAGGAGACAGGAUACAGUAGAUAGGAGACAGCAGAGAGGAGAAAGGAGUCAGCAGGCAACAGAGAGGAGACAGUAGGCAGGAGAGAGGAGACAGGAAACAGCAGACAGGAGACAGCAGAGAGGAGACAGCAGGCAGCAGAGAGGAGACAUGAUACAGUAGAUAGGAGACAGCAGGCAGCAGAGAGGAGACAGGAUACAGUAGAUAGGAGACAGCAGAGAGGAGAGAGCAGAGAGGAGACAGCAGAGAGGAGACAGGAGGCCGCAGAGAGGAGGCAGGAGACAGCAGAGAGGAGACAGCAGGCAGCACAGCGGAGACAGGAGACAGCAGAGGAGACAGGAGCCAGCAGAGGAGACAGCAGGCAGCAGAGGAGACAGUAGGCAGCAGAGGAGACAGGAGACAGCAGAGAGGAGACGGGAGCCAGCAGAUGAGACAGCAGGCAGCAGAGGAGACAGCAGGCAGCACAGAGGAGACAGGAGACAGCAGAGGGGAAACAGCAGAUGAGACAGCAGGCAGCAGAGGAGACAGGAGACAGCAGAGAGGAGACAGCAGGCAGCACAGAGGAGACAGCAGAGAGGAGACAGCAGGCAGCAGAGAGGAGACAGGAGACCGCAGAGAGGAGACAGGAGACCGCAGAGAGGAGACAGCAGGCAGCACAGAGGAGACAGCAGGCAGCACAGAGGAGACAGGAGACAGCGGGCAGCAGAGAGGAGACAGGACACAGCACAGAGGAGACAGCAGGCAGCAGAGAAGAGACAGUAGAGGAGACAGGAGACCGCAGAGAGGAGACAGCAGGCAGCACAGAGGAGACAGCAGGCAGCACAGAGGAGACAGGAGACAGCGGGCAGCAGAGAGGAGACAGGACACAGCACAGAGGAGACAGGAGACAGCAGGCAGCAUAGAGGAGACAGCAGAGAGGAGACAGCAGGCAGCAGGCAGCAGAAACAGGAGACAGCAGGCAGCAGAGAGGAGACAGGACACAGCACAGAGGAGACAGGAGACAGCAGGCAGCAUAGAGGGGACAGGAGACAGCAGGCAGCAGAGAGAGGAGACAGGAGACAGCACAGAGGAGACAGGAGACAGCAGGCAGCAGAAACAGGAGACAGCAGGCAGCAGAGAGGAGACAGGACACAGCACAGAGGAGACAGGAGACAGCAGGCAGCAUAGAGGAGACAGGAGACAGCACAGAGGAGACAGGAGACAGCAGGCAGCAGAAACAGGAGACAGCAGGCAGCAGAGAGGAGACAGGACACAGCACAGAGGAGACAGGAGACAGCAGGCAGCAUAGAGGAGACAGGAGACAGCACAGAGGAGACAGGAGACAGCAGGCAGCAGAAACAGGAGACAGCAGGCAGCAGAGAGGAGACAGAAGACUGAAAUCUUCCAGCCCAGCCCUCCCAAAGGUUUCUGGGAAAACAACUAGGGAGGUCUAAAAAUGUGCCUGAUGCAUUAGCCAAGACCUAGAUCCAUUAUAAUUAAAGUAUUGCGCAGACAGAACCCAGGAGGUUCACGUCUUGAAUGAAAUCUUCCAGCCCAGCCCUCUCAAAGGCUUCUGGGAAAACAAGUCUCCAGUUGGGGCCUUCCACUUUUACACUGGAACUCGGGAGGUCUAGAAAUGUGCCUGACGCAUUAGCCAAGACCUCGAUCCAUCAUUGUGAACGCUAACUAAGCUAACUAGGCCAGUAAACCAGAAAAAUGAAUGACCUGUGUUUGAGAUGGGACGAAAAGCUCUGGAUCGCAUUCAUUAUAGCACAUCAUAGCAAAAGUUUUGCAAAGGAAAAUAAAAAUGAGUGUUUAUAUUGAAGUUCAGAUAGUCCCUCCCUGUUUCAGUAUGGCUUCUUGCUUUGGUGCCUAAUGAAUAAGACCUUUGUCAAGUCUCUUAGCCCUUAAAGACCCAGCGUCAGUUUUCUUCUGUGAGCGAACGCAAAGCCUUUCAGCUGGUUUUAAUUAACUCAACCAGAGACAAUGAUUAAUUACAAUGAGUGCAAAGACUUUUUACUGAGGAUACUGACAAAGACUGGAGAACUUCACACUGGGGGAUUUUAAUACAGACACAGAAGUAGGUCUAACACACACACACACACACACACACACACACACACACACACACACACACACACACACACACACAGUGGUACAAACUCUGAGACCCUCUCCAUUUUAACAAUGUACAAACAACCAAUUGAAAGUGGGCUUUGGAUGUUCAAUGCAGACGAAACAUGUGUUCAGUGGUUAUAGGUUUCAACCAUCAUAAUCAUUCCCAGAUCCACAGCCUUUACCGGUUGGGCUUUGACACACAGAGGGAUACAGAGAGAGAGGAAGCAUGGUGAGACAGGCAGGGUGGUAUAAGGAGACAGGCAGCGUGGGAUAAGGAGACAGGCGGCGUGGUAUAAGGAGGCAGGCGGCGUGGUAUAAGGAGGCAGGCGGCGUGGUAUAAGGAGGCAGGCAGCGUGGUAUAAGGAGGCAGGCAGCGUGGUAUAAGGAGACAGGCGGCGUGGUAUAAGGAGGCAGGCAGCGUGGUAUAAGGAGG